rnacentral:lncRNA from 1 species
CUGGAAACCUAGUCUGGUUCAAGGGUGUGCUCUUUCUGCUCUGCCAUGCUGUGCUUCAGCCCUUCCCCACUCUCAGCCCCAUGUGCACGCAGAUAGGGAUUUUCACUCUUUGCCCUGUAUGAAAGGAGGGAAGGAAGCCAGGCACCCCGAAUGGAGAGACCAGCUGAAGCCGCGGCAGAAGAACAAAAAUUGUGAAGAUUUAAUGGACAUUUAUCAGUUCCCAAAAUUAAUAUUUUUAUAAUUUCUUACGCCUGUCUUUACUGCAAUCUCUGAACAUAAAUUGUGAAGAUUUCAUGGAUAUUUAUCACUUCCCCAAUCAAUACUCUUAUAAUUUCUUAUGUUUGUCUUUAAUCUCUUAAUCCCGUCAUCUUUGUAAGCUGAGGAUGUAUGUCACCUCAGGACCCUGUGAUGAUUGCAUUAACUGUACAGAUUGUAAAACGUGUGUUUGAACAAUAUGAAACCAGUGCACCCUGAAAAAGGACAGAAUAACAGUGAUUUUCAGGGAACAAAAGAGAUAAUCAUAAGGCCUGACUGCCUGCGGGGUUGGGCAGAACACAGCCAUAUUUUUCUUCUCGCAGAAAGCCUAUAGAUGGAUGUGUGAGUAGGAGAAAUAUUGCUGAAUUCUUUUCCCAGCAAGGAAUAUUAAUAAUUGAUAGCCCUGGGGAAGGAAUGCAUUCCUGGGGGGAGGUCUAUGAACGCCUGCUCUGGGAUUGUCUGUCUUAUGUGGUUGAGAUAAGGACUGAAAUACACCCUGGUCUCCCGCAGUGCCCUCAGGCUUGCUAGGAUUGGGAAAUUCCAGCCUGGUGAAUUCUAGUCAGACCGGUUGUCUGCUCUCAAACUCUCUUUCCUGUUAAGAUGUUUAUCAAGACAAUGCAUGCACAGGAGGACAUGGACCCUCAUCAGUAAUUCUAAUUUUGCCCUUGCCUUGUGAUCUUUUAUUGCCCUUUGAAGCAUGUGAUCCUUGUGACCUACUCCCUGUUCGUACAUCUACUCUCCUUCUAAAAUCCUAAUAAAAACUUGCUGGUUUUGCAGCUCAGGGUCGCCAUCACGGUCCUACCAAUAUGUGAUGGCACCCCCAGAGGCCCA